rnacentral:misc_RNA from 1 species
CCCAAUUCUAGCUUCCUUGUUCCUAGUGUUGAUGAUGGCAACUUCAGUUUGAAGCCACAGAUAGUGGGUAGGGUUUCCUUCGGUGCCCUUAGAAAAGAUCAUGACCUAGAUCCACAAAUGGGAUAGGGUUAUGGAUUUAGCCCCUCUAGCCGCUAGUUUUUCUAUUAGGCUUGGGACUAUAUUUAUUUGGAUGUGGCCUGUUUCUGAGUUGCCAUCAUCAACAC